GCACUGCGCUGGUGUUGGGGGCAGGAGGAGAAAGACAGGCAGGUCUCAUCUUACUUGGAUGCCUGUUGUAAGCUUGUAAUCCGCUCUGUUGGCCACCACAGCUCCUCCAUUUGAUGACGACGGGCCAUUUGUUCCAGGGCUCAUGGAUGGAAGGGACUUGCCUUGUCUCAGAUGAGACUUUGGACUGCAGCUUUUGACUUAAUGCUGAAAUGCGCCUUUGGAAAAAACACUGAGAAAGCAUUUCAGGUAUCUGCCAUGGAAAAUACCAUCAAGUGGGACACCCGCAGCGAUCUCUGUACCCACAAAAGUCACACUUGCUAUCCUUGGUGAAUUUUCCUUAAAAACUGUGGAUGAACUUCCAGUGACUGCGUAAAUAAGACCCCCAGGAUGAAGGUCAUGUAACCUGAGCAUGCCCAGAUGAACCAAGUGUGCAAUCACAGGAGGAACCUAAGUGCCCAGACUGAGGAGCAGAGACUGAAUUAAGAAGCAGACACUGCAUGUCAGGAUCCAGGAUCCAAUCAGAUCGAACUCUGGCAUUGCCCCACGGUCGAUAGCAGGAUCCAGUCAGAUCAUGCCUCCCAGCAUCACUUCAUUGCAAGAUCCAACCAGAUCACACCUCAAUACCCUAUGUUUAUAAAACCUGACCCAAACCCAGCUUGGGGAGACGCACUGGGGCAUUUCCUCCUGUCUCCUUGCCAAAUAAAGAAUU